rnacentral:rRNA from 1 species
UACGGAGGGUGCGAGCGUUGUCCGGAAUCACUGGGCGUAAAGGGCGCGUAGGCGGCCUGAUAAGUAGGGGGUGAAAUCCUGCGGCUUAACCGCAGGGCUGCCUUCUAAACUGUCAGGCUUGAGCACAGUAGAGGCAGGUGGAAUUCCCGGUGUAGCGGUGGAAUGCGUAGAGAUCGGGAAGAACAUCAGUGGCGAAGGCGGCCUGCUGGGCUGUUGCCGACGCUGAGGCGCGACAGCGUGGGGAGCAAACAGG